GUGAAGAACGUAGCGAAAUGCGAUACGUAAUGUGAAUUGCAAAUUCAGUGAAUCAUCGAGUCUUUGAACGCACAUUGCGCCCCCUGGUAUUCCGGGGGGCAUGCCUGUCCGAGCGUCAUUGCUGCCCUCAAGCACGGCUUGUGUGUUGGGCCCCGUCCUCCGAUCCCGGGGGACGGGCCCGAACGGCAGCGGCGGCACCGCGUCCGGUCCUCGAGCGUAUGGGGCUUUGUCACCCGCUCUGUAGGCCCGGCCGGCGCUUGCAGAUCAACCCAAAUUUUUAUCCAGGUUGACCUCGGAUCAGGUAGGGAUACCCGCUGAACUUAAGCAUAUCAAUAAGCGGAGGA
rnacentral:misc_RNA from 1 species